rnacentral:rRNA from 1 species
UACGUAGGGGGCAAGCGUUGUCCGGAAUCAUUGGGCGUAAAGAGCGUGUAGGCGGCCAGAAAAGUCCGCUGUGAAAACUCGAGGCUCAACUUCGAGCUGUCGGUGGAAACUUUCUGGCUAGAGUCCGGAAGAGGAGAAUGGAAUUCCUAGUGUAGCGGUGAAAUGCGCAGAUAUCAGGAAGAACACCCGUGGCGAAGGCGGUUCUCUGGGACGGUACUGACGCUGAGACGCGAAAGCGUGGGGAGCGAACAGG